AUAAUAUGCAUAACGAUUACGAGUAUAUUGUAUUAUUUCGUUAUAGCCGUGUUGAGUGCAGAAACGCGAAAGUUUUAACGACUGUCGAGCGCGUCAAUCGAGAUUAUCGCAACCCGUAUAUAGGUACCUAGGUGAUCAAUUUUUUCUUUAUUCGUAAUAAUAAUAACACAUUAAUGCGCUUAUCGGUUUCCCGUAGUAAUAAUAUUGACAUAAACGUAUAACAAUAUUGACGGACUACACGUUUUUACGCGAUUACGCGCGUCCGUAUAAAUCUGUCAAAUCCCGAAAAUUAUAAACUGUUUGCCGAACGCACUUUCGUUGAAACAAAGAGGAGCGGGCAGAGCGCAAAAUAAUAAUAUUAUUCAUUGUUAAAUUAUAUAGGUACCUACACGAAGCGUAAUACAUUUUCGCAUAAUAAUCGAUAUUUGAAUUUAUAUUAUUUUAUUAUUUACAACGUCGCUUUCAAUCGGCUGUGGAUAUCGGCGUGCACGAUAUUGACGUGCGUGAUAAUUAUCAGAGAGAGGGUCUACGCGGAUUUCGGAGGAAUUUGCUUCCCCCCUCACUACCCUCUCCCGCUAUAAAUAAUAUACGUACAGUAAAAAAACGAAGCUUUUCAAAAUAUUUAUAUAAAUUUGAUUUAUAUAGAGUGAUUCAACACGUCAGAUUUAAAAUCGUUAUAAAUUGAAUUUGUUCUUUUAAUGCGAAAAACAAUUUUCGGGAGAUCUUGUGACGGUUUAAUCGUGGAAAAAAAAUACAACGCUAUUACGACUCCCACCCUCGGUCCGUAAAAUUCACCACAAUUCGUUCACAUAUUUUCAUUUCUUUUAUGUCCGUGACAAGUUGAAUAUUUCGUUUUAGUCCCGCUAAAUUUCAGGGUUUGUUUUGAUAAACCUGUGUGUCUUAGCGAUCCCCAUAGGAAUAAAUCGAAAGGUAUUAAAUCAUUGUAGGAUUGCGGUGGGUAGUUUCGGUCUCCUCGCGACGAGAUUAAUCUGUUUUGUGUACUUAUUUAUCCGUGGUGAUUACAACGCUAACUAACUCUAACACCAAAAACGCUUAUCACAAAACCCCAAUGAAAGCCGAAAAUCACAAAAACAGUGAUGCUGAAUAAAAAAUGAAGAACAUUUAAAAUCCAACGUUCUAUAUUAUGAAUCACCCUUUACAUUGUAUCGUUUAGAAUAGAAUAUAUAUAUUGAUUUUAUAUGUGUUUUUUUUUACAAUAAAAAACUUUUUAACCUACAGAAAUUUCGCUCCAGUCGUUAACAACGGGUGAAAUUUCUGCGGGUAUAGCGAAGUUUACUAAGUCGAUGCAUGGGGGACGUCAUUUUUGAUUUUUCUUGUAGUUUUCUUAAUCUACGGAGGGAAACGUCAGAAAACGGGAAUAUUAAAACCGAAACCUUAACUUAAUUAAAAGUUAUCCAAUGAAUCAACCCGUCAUUUCUUUAACAUUGUCUAGUUCAACUUGUAUUUACUAUUUAAAUAUAAACAACGUCUCCUGUAAAUAUCGACUUUUUUUUUUUGUAUUGACUAAAUAUGAUUAGCAUUUUUUGAAUUCUUAAUGGUAUAUAGAAUAAUUGUCAGCUAUAUAAUAUUCUUCAGUGGUAAAAUAAACGAUCUUAUAAGGUUCUUUCUUUAAAAUAGGUUCUAAGUAUAAACUUAAAAUGAUUUUCAAUGUUUUGUGCAUAGUUUUUAUUGUUUCAAAAUUCAUAAUCUAGUUACGUAGAUACAUAAUGAACUAAAACCAGCGGGUAAACAUCGUUCGUAUAAUUUAUUCAAAAGUUAGUCGUUAAUAUUUGCAUCUUGUCAUAUAAGCACGAAUCGUGUUUAAUAUGUUCUACAUAAAUCGGCAGGUAGGUACCUAUACAAGAAAGAAUAGUGGCUCGUACUUUU